rnacentral:rRNA from 2 species
AGUCGAACGAACUCUGGUAUUGAUUGGUGCUUGCAUCAUGAUUUACAUUUGAGUGAGUGGCGAACUGGUGAGUAACACGUGGGAAACCUGCCCAGAAGCGGGGGAUAACACCUGGAAACAGAUGCUAAUACCGCAUAACAACUUGGACCGCAUGGUCCGAGUUUGAAAGAUGGCUUCGGCUAUCACUUUUGGAUGGUCCCGCGGCGUAUUAGCUAGAUGGUGAGGUAACGGCUCACCAUGGCAAUGAUACGUAGCCGACCUGAGAGGGUAAUCGGCCACAUUGGGACUGAGACACGGCCCAAACUCCUACGGGAGGCAGCAGUAGGGAAUCUUCCACAAUGGACGAAAGUCUGAUGGAGCAACGCCGCGUGAGUGAAGAAGGGUUUCGGCUCGUAAAACUCUGUUGUUAAAGAAGAACAUAUCUGAGAGUAACUGUUCAGGUAUUGACGGUAUUUAACCAGAAAGCCACGGCUAACUACGUGCCAGCAGCCGCGGUAAUACGUAGGUGGCAAGCGUUGUCCGGAUUUAUUGGGCGUAAAGCGAGCGCAGGCGGUUUUUUAAGUCUGAUGUGAAAGCCUUCGGCUCAACCGAAGAAGUGCAUCGGAAACUGGGAAACUUGAGUGCAGAAGAGGACAGUGGAACUCCAUGUGUAGCGGUGAAAUGCGUAGAUAUAUGGAAGAACACCAGUGGCGAAGGCGGCUGUCUGGUCUGUAACUGACGCUGAGGCUCGAAAGUAUGGGUAGCAAACAGGAUUAGAUACCCUGGUAGUCCAUACCGUAAACGAUGAAUGCUAAGUGUUGGAGGGUUUCCGCCCUUCAGUGCUGCAGCUAACGCAUUAAGCAUUCCGCCUGGGGAGUACGGCCGCAAGGCUGAAACUCAAAGGAAUUGACGGGGGCCCGCACAAGCGGUGGAGCAUGUGGUUUAAUUCGAAGCUACGCGAAGAACCUUACCAGGUCUUGACAUACUAUGCAAAUCUAAGAGAUUAGACGUUCCCUUCGGGGACAUGGAUACAGGUGGUGCAUGGUUGUCGUCAGCUCGUGUCGUGAGAUGUUGGGUUAAGUCCCGCAACGAGCGCAACCCUUAUUAUCAGUUGCCAGCAUUAAGUUGGGCACUCUGGUGAGACUGCCGGUGACAAACCGGAGGAAGGUGGGGAUGACGUCAAAUCAUCAUGCCCCUUAUGACCUGGGCUACACACGUGCUACAAUGGAUGGUACAACGAGUUGCGAACUCGCGAGAGUAAGCUAAUCUCUUAAAGCCAUUCUCAGUUCGGAUUGUAGGCUGCAACUCGCCUACAUGAAGUCGGAAUCGCUAGUAAUCGCGGAUCAGCAUGCCGCGGUGAAUACGUUCCCGGGCCUUGUACACACCGCCCGUCACACCAUGAGAGUUUGUAACACCCAAAGUCGGUGGGGUAACCUUUUA